UUCCUUGGUUUGACAGGCGAGAUAAAGACUUCCUUGAGCUCCAGAAGGUUAUCCUUAACCCAGAACUGCUGGACAGCUUCAGAUAUUACACAAGAUUUAGGUAAACAGUCUUUAUAAUAUUACAUGUAUAUAUUACAUAAAAUACAGGUGGUACAUUUGUACAUAUACAUGGGCAUUGCCUGCUCUAAGCAGGGGGUGAUGGAAUAUUCAAAUGCACCAGAUGAAGAAUAUAUUAGAAGACGGUUAAUUUGUAGAAAAUCCACAUGAUUGUAUUAAUAUAAUGUAAGUAUUAAAAAAUUGGUCUUGAAGAAAUGGGGUGGUCCUUCCAUUCCAUACCCCCCCUCCCCCCAUCCAAUGUGAGUCUAUAUAUAAAUAUAGAAGCUCUUCUAUUUUAGACAUACUGGAGGAAUUGAGCGUGCCAAUAGUCUCAGCCUUGUUUAUACACCCAAGAGAGUGCCAUUGAGGUGAGGAUCCAAAAAUUGCUUUAUAAUUUGGUGUAGUAUAUUAUGGCAAAUUGCAUGAUUGUACAUAUACUGUAGAUAUAUGUAUAUAUAUUGUAAAAACUCCUAGCUGUAUUGUACUGAAUAUAUUAUUUCCUUAGUUAUAGAGUGUAUAAAGCCUGUAAGCAAUUGACUGCAAUCGAUUGGAACUACCACAUCAAUAUUCAAAAUGCAAAAAGUAAGUCUGGUGUGGAAAUGUUGACAAGAAGAUACAACAGAAGGACCAGGCAGUGGGAUGUGAAAAAUGUCAAAGUUGAAAAAGGAUUUGAGUACAUUCCUGUUCUUAUUGCAAAGGUUAUCCAACGGAGACUGCAUGAUGAUGAGUAAUAUAACCCGCCAUGUUUCAUUAAAUGCAAGCGACCCAGGCCACAUUGCUCCCACCGUUGCACAUAUACCACCACCAGCAACAAAGGACAUACCAAAAAGAAAAAGCCGAUUUUCACAAUAACUAAUAUAAUAGUGGCACAUUCCAAUUUUGUACAAAAUUAUGUAAUUUCUUCUAAUGUAUAUUCUAUAAAAAAAUGUCCUUAUUACUUACUAUAUACAAACAUAAAU